AUCACGGGAGACACACGGCGGGUGCUAACGUCCGUCGUGGAGAGGGAAACAACCCAGACCGCCAGCUAAGGUCCCCAAGUACUAGUUAAGUGGGAAACGAUGUGGGAAGGCAUAGACAGCCAGGAGGUUGGCUUAGAAGCAGCCACCCUUUAAAGAAAGCGUAAUAGCUCACUGGUCGAGUCGGCCUGCGCGGAAGAUGUAACGGGGCUAAAACUAGUCACCGAAGCUGCGGAUGUGCGCGAAGGCGCACGUGGUAGGGGAGCGUUCUGUAGGCUGAUGAAGGUGCAUUGAGAAGUGUGCUGGAGGUAUCAGAAGUGCGAAUGCUGACAUGAGUAACGAUAAUGUGGGUGAAAAGCCCACACGCCGGAAGUCCCAGGUUUCCUGCACGACGUUAAUCGGAGCAGGGUGAGUCGGCCCCUAAGGCGAGGCUGAAGAGCGUAGUCGAUGGGAACCAGGUUAAUAUUCCUGGACUUUUUAUAAGUGGUGAAGUGGGGACGAAGAAGGCUAGGUGAGCCAGGCGUUGGUUGUCCUGGUACUUGCAUGUAGGGGGGAAGACUUGGCAAAUCCGGUUUUCCAUAACUCUGAGGUGCGAAGUGGUUCUGACCUUUUGGUACAGAGAAGUCAUUGAUGCCCGGCUUCCAGGAAAAGCUGCUAGCCAUAACUUAUAGAGAACCGUACCGCAAACCGACACAGGUGGACAGGUAGAGAAUACUAAGGCGCUUGAGAGAACUCGGGUGAAGGAACUAGGCAAAAUGGUACCGUAACU
rnacentral:rRNA from 1 species